UACGUGAGGGCGCAAGCGUUGUCCGGAAUUAUUGGGCGUAAAGAGCUCGUAGGCGGCCUGUUACGUCUGCUGUGAAAUCCCGGGGCUUAACCCCGGGCGUGCAGUGGAUACGGGCAGGCUGGAGGCAGGCAGGGGAGAACGGAAUUCCCGGUGUAGCGGUGAAAUGCGCAGAUAUCGGGAGGAACACCGGUGGCGAAGGCGGUUCUCUGGGCCUGUACUGACGCUGAGGAGCGAAAGCGUGGGGAGCGAACAGG
rnacentral:rRNA from 1 species